UAGGGUAGACACUGACAACGUU
rnacentral:miRNA from 1 species